CUUGAACUUUUUGAGCCAGGGGUGAUAUAUAAUUUGCCAAAAAGUGUGCAACUUCUUUCUACGGCCGAAAAUAAAUUAACAGCAGGUGUUUAUCUAUUGGAGUAUCAAUCAAUGUCUGGAUUGAAAAUCCUAAACAUGAGUUACCAAUUACACCCACCUGUUUAUCCCAAUUCUGUCGUAGACCAAUGUAGAAAAAAGGUAGAUAAAAACAUGAAAGGAAUUGUUUACCAUCAGAGAACCAUGUCGCACCAUUUUAACUGGAGUAUGCCAUUUCCUCCAAAUUUUGAAACCUUGUAUGCACAAUCUAGUCGACUUUAUAUCGUUGAUCCCCGAUUUUCAGUUAUUGCUCCAAACCUUCGACAUGUUUACCUUCAAAACAACUUUAUCAUUUAUUUGAAAGGCCAAAUACGAGCGAAAGACAACCAAGUAGAAAUCAUAGAUAUUUCAAACAAUUUUUGUAGCCAUUUAUUUCGUGCAUUUGAUGGGAAAAGUGUUAGACACAUGAACAUUUCUCAUAAUGAUUUAAGCCAAGAUAUAGAAAGAGACACAGAGGGUGAAAUCUUUAAAACGUUUACAAAUCUUUAAGUAUUAGACAUGUCUUUUAACAAAAUAUUGUCGCUUCCAAAACUGCUGCUAAAGAACCAAAACAACCUGGAAUAUCUGAAUGUAAGCAAUAACCGGUUAUCAGAGUGGUUUGUCAAUGUAAAACACAUGUCAAAUCUUACGUUAUUGGAUCUGUCUGACAACAAAUUUGCAACAAUUAGUCCAAGUGCUCGCAAUCAAUUAGAGAAGCUUUUCUAAAGCAACUUAGCUUUGGAUUUGUCAAGAAAUGGAUAAGCAUGUACAUGCGAAAACCAAAAGUUUUUGAUGUGGAUUCUAAAAUAUAAAUCCCAUUUUAUAAAUAUUGAUAAGUACACUUGUUCUUCAACAAAUACUUUAUUCAAGUUUAAAGAAGAUUCAAAAGUUUUGAACUUGUGCAUCAUAUUUAGGUUGGUACAUAGGUUGUUCAGUAACUUUGGCAAUAUUCAUUACGUUUAUAAUCAGUUUAGCACAUGUUAUAAAUAAAUGGAAAAUACGAUACCUUAUUUACAAAUCCAAGCAAAAAUUCGGAAUUGUAACUCCCUUUAAUAGAUAUUUACCAAGUGGUAUGCAUUACGAAUAUGACGCCUUCCUUUCAGACAGUGGACAAGAAUUAAUGUUUGUUUUAAAGAAAGUCAUACCUCGGCUCGAGGUCAAUAAAAGCCUAAAACUCAUUGUCAGAGACCGAGAUUAUCUGCCAGGCAUUCCGAAAGUCGACAGCAUAAUGAAUGGUCUUCAGGAAAGCAAGCGGACCAUUUGUAUAGUGUCGAAGAAGUAUUUGGAGUCUAAGUGGCGUGACUAUGAACUAAACAUGGCGAAAGUAGAAGCCAUUGAAGAUCGUGGAUCUCUUGAUUACGUCAUUCUUAUAAUGUUACCCGAAGUUUAUAACGAUGGAAUUCCGCAUAAAAUCAUGGACCUUAUCAAAAAAGACCGCUUUAUUGAAUAUCCUAUGGAAUCUUGCGCGUAUGAUGACUUUUGGGAGAGGCUUAUGGGGAUGCUUGAUCAAUAAAUUGACAGUCUGUUAUU
rnacentral:misc_RNA from 1 species